GAGAGAGAGAGAGGAGAGAGAUAGAGAGAGAGAGAGAGAGAGAGAGAAGAACAUGAGGGAAUGGUCGGUGGAAGUAAAAUUGUGAUGGACAAAUUAUUGAAUGCAUGUACGGUGUAAAUGUACAAGUAAUAUGGAAAUGUAAAUACAUAUUGACAUUAACUUGGCAGGUCAUCAUUACUAAGUUUUCACAAUACAGGCAAAAGAAAUAUCUAGGUUUGACCAUAUUAUGUCUUCUGGUACAGUGUACAUUUUCCCUUCUUCCAAGUACCUGUAUCUCGUGUACCUUCCCUAAAAAUGGCUAUAUACCUGUAUUAGAAUCCAUCUUUAUCAAUAGAUUAUGAGGAUUUUUGUUUUACUUGAUGAAAUACACAUUAUUGAAGACGUCCUCAAUGAUUAUUCUGUAUACAUAAUAUGAGUCGGGUUUACUUCUUGGUGCAUGUACAUUUAGAUGUUAAAAUCUUAGAAUAUUGUGUUUUUAUGUUCAUUGAAACACCAGUUGUUUACAUUGGUUACUUAAAGGAAUAUAUUAUGACAUAUAGUAAUCUCUGUUGAUGUGCAGACAAUGUAAUAGCUGAUCGCAGCUGAUCUGAUUUGAAUACCAAAUUGAGGAUGCCGAAUAAUUUGGUGGAAUACAUGAAUUGAAUAGCAAAAUUGAGGAUGCAUAAUCAUUUGACAGAAUACAUGAAACUGGCAGUUGCAUUAUCUAGGCUUCUGCUUGCAUCUUCACUUACAUUUUGAAUGUGAAGAUGCAAAUAAAGGCCUUAAAAAUAAGCAUUUACACACCUUUUGUUCAUGCUUUGCAUGCUACCAAAUAUUGUAAUGGUUGUCAUAUUUUCCUUGGUAUUGCUGCACAGAAACUUUCAAGUCUUCUGCUUUUUUGUAUUAACUUGACCAACUCCAAAUUUGAGUGUACAGUUCCUUGUUGGUGCGCUGUGUCUACAUUUGACCCUCGGGUUGUAGAUCAUUACACACAAGACUAACUUGAUUAUUUAUACAUUAUGCUGUCUGCCUCGUCCAUGGGGUGUAACUGGAAUUUUGCAAUCUUGUGGAUUUUGUUAGAAUUUCCUGAAGAUUUUAGAAUUCUGGUUCAUGAAACUUGAAACUGAAAUAUACAAGCUAUUCAAGGAAAGAUUUUGGGAAGAAUGUGUAAUUAUUUACAAUAAAUCAGAUAUAUGCUGUAGAUGACACACUAUGAUAAUCAUUUAAAUUUUUAAUUGAUUAUUUAUUGCCUGCAUGGUCAUUGGACUGUGCUAACAAGUUUAGUAUGCAAUUCCACAUAAUGUUGACGCUUAUUAGUAAGUUUAUUGAGAGGUUUUGAAUUUAUGUCUACUAUCAAAGUUAUGAUAUAUGAUCCCGGUAGUUGAGUAAAUUGUUUAUAAAUUGCAAACAAUGAAUUGCUAUAUUAAAAAGGAAUAGCAUAUGUAUAUAAUAUUAAAACAUUUCAUUUUGACCAAUAAACAAAUAUGUUAUGAACAAUGGUAUAUCCAGGGAAAUGCAUAAUACAUGUAGGUCUAAGGGUUUCAAAUUCUAUUUUUAUAUUAUUAUCAUUUUUUUUUUACAACCCACUCUGACCAUUUUUGUUGCAAGGCCACGUGUAACAGUCGUAUUUUUACGUUAUUUUUUGUUUUUUGUUGGGGGGGGGGGGGUGGGGUAUGUACUUAAUAUGAAAUCAAUAUCAAAUGAUGAUUUGCAUUAUAUUGUUUCAUUUCCUAUACAGAACAGUAUAACAAGCAUUGGAAAAUUGCUUGAAAUAAAAUAUGAAAAGAAAAAAAA
rnacentral:lncRNA from 1 species